CAGAUGGUUUCCCGGAACUAUAGAUGUUCCAUAUUCGCCUCCCAACUGACAACCCACUGCCUGAUAACCGAUGAUCAUCGAUCUGCAUGCUAAAUUUCUGCCGUGCGACUCUUAUCAACCCAAAGCCAGCUGAUAAGACAAGAGAACGAGAGCAGAGCGCGGAGAGCGAAGACCAAAGAGAGUUGAGUUGAGCCAGGGCAUUGCGUCAAGUGCGCUAAUCGCUGGCUCCGAAUCGAAACCAGGGCUACAGCCACCGCCGAGCCAAGCAACAACAAUUGCCGUUAACAAUUGUCGGAGCGACAGCACACUGCGCAAAUUGCACGUCGCGCAGUGUACGACAGUGGGCAACAACAACAGCACAGCAGCUAUCAAGGCGUACGUACGUACGAACAUUCACCAAGCCGCUUGCCCCAACCAACAAAGACUCCACUCCACAUCCCGUACAUACGUAUGUACAUCCACAUCUACAUCCAAUGUUGCUGACUCGACUCACCGCUUACAUACAGACGCUCGCUCGUCUAUAUGUAGGUGUGAGCGAGAGAGCAGAGCCGAACGACCGACACACGAAGUACAGUCGCACAGUUAAAAAUAAAGUGUGGGCCGCUGCGACGGGUCGGGGAACGAGCGGUACAGGCAGGCAAAGAGAAAAGAGCGAGGCGAGCGAGGGUAAAACAACAAAGCGAAUGCUGGUAAAUAAUGAUGAUGGAACCAGUGUGCUGUGUGUAUGGUAAGAGCUGCCAUCGCUGUCUCUCUGUUCGCUGCUGUUGUUGCUGCUUUUGCUGUGCUGUGCUGUUGAUAGCGAGGGACGUAAUAUCGCAACUUUUGCCGUUCCAAAAGCACGGAGCCAAGCGAACGUUCGUCGUUCGUUCGUUCGAGUUUAAUUUUGUAGUACGUAGCAGGAAAAAAAAGAAACGACGAAAAAUAAAUGAUGGCGGCAACAACAACAACGACGGCGACGACGACUGACUUGGCAGUGCUGCGUUCCGAUUUUUGUUGAAAAUAUUUUUGUUUCUUUUUUUUUUUGCGUUUCGAAAACACUCGAAGUGCUAAGGAAGAAGAAGCAGAGAUGGAGAAUGAGGAACAAGAAGAAGAAGAAGAGGCUUACGGCGACCGUUUUUCUAGUGCGUUUCGCUUAGAAUGGCAAAAAUCUCAAAGGGGACAACGAAUCCCACCCCAAAGCGAAAACCCAUCAUCAUAUCACAACCCCCCACUUUAUAGUAGUGUGGUGAGUGGUGGCAAGUGGUAAGUACGGCCUCGCACGCUCGAUUUAGCGAAGGUUGCUGCUUUGCUAUGCUAGCGUGGUGGGAUAACGGAUGUUGGAUAUAUUCGUCGGAUGUCGGACAACGUCCGCAGCGUAGCGCGCGCAAAUUCACGUAGUUUGAAUCGGUUUCGGAUUUGUACUCGCCAGCGCAGCGCCACAAAGCUAACGGAUCGAACCAAGGUUGGCCCCUGGCAUUUUCCUAUGGCAUAUAUUGUAUGAGGCAAUCGAAACGUGAAGAGUGUUUCGAAGUAUCGCGGACUGCCAAAGACUUUAUAUCGAAUCUUGUUGAUUGUUCAUAAGGCUGUCAUAGUUUUUAAGAUAAUACAUUGUACUAAAUAAUCUGAUUAAUA